UGCGCCUUUCUUGGCCUCUCCCCAACACAGGCCUGCAGACCAUCUCUGAGGUCAGGCUCUCGGGAAUGACCAGCCUUGGGCCUCCACUGCCUCCGGAAAGGAGUCAUUUACACAGCACCUCUCAUAUUUCAAUCAUCAGGUUGGCAAAAGUUGAGGGCACCAAACACAUCAGGAGCCGCGGUGGGGGACAACCAAUAGGAUCCUAUGCUGCUCCUGGGACUGUGGAUUGGUGCCACCUCCUUGGAGACCCACCCAUAGGUGGUUACUCAGUGUUUGACGGCAUGUGUGCCUUGGACCCCAAAUUCCACUUCCGGGUACCUUUUCUAAGGAAACACAGCUCCUGGCAACAAGGACACUGAAGGAACACUUGAAAACGUUGAAAUUGUAAAGGAAAACAAAUAAACCUGCACAAAGGUCCUUACGUGUGGAAAUAAAGAAUCAUGUCAGGGAGACCCAGAAGGGCUUGGGCAGCCAAGCCCCGUGAAACAGAGCCAGGCAUUUCCACAGGGGUAUUCGGGUGUAUGUGAACACACGACUGGAGAAUACUUGAGGAAACACACCAGGCUGAAGCACCUUAUGAAGUUGGGAGCUGUCGUGGAGAGCACUUCUUGAGGUGAAUCCCACCCACAGCACAGGAGUCUCCUUAAGGAAGCUCCAUCCCACCCACACCCUCCGGGUCCAUUCAAGGCAGGUGCCCAGAGGCAGCUUAUUUUCUCCAGGACACUCAGGAAGAAAAGGAAAUCCACAGAGGCUGGGCAGGGCUGUCAGCCUCACCCCACAUUGGGUUCUGGGGGAGUGUGCAGCCUGACCACCAGUAGCAGCCCCAGACUCAUUGCUCAGCAAAAUCCCAAGGUGGGUGUAAUAGUCUGCUCUGGCUGCCACAACAAAACACUACAAACUGGGUGACUGCAACAACAGAAAUUUAUUUUCACAAGGUUCUGUAGGCUGGGGACUCCAAGGUCAAGGACUUUUGCAGCUUGGUCUCAUGUUUGGCCUCCUCCUCACUAAGUCCUCCUGUGACCUUUCCAUGAUGUGUGUGCGUGUGUGUGUGUGUGUGAGGGGGGUGUGUGUGUGUGCGUGUGUGUGCACAGACAGACAGUAAGUUCACUAGGGUCUCUCUGUAGAAGGAUAUUAGUCCUAUCACAUCAGGGUCCCACCCUUCAUGGCCUCACUGAACCUUACUCGGCCUUAAAGGCUCUGGCUCCAAAUGCAGUCACAAUGGGAGUGAGGACUUCAUCACAUGAAUUGGAGUGGAGGGAAGUACAAUUCAGUGCAUAGCAAGUAGUAAAUAUUUUGCUGCUGAUUUGACUUUCUAGUGACCCUGCUCCCCGGCCAUCCAGAUCACAGAUGUCACUACCUUCAGAUACUGAAAGAUAUAUCCGGCCCCUCAUCCUAACCUAAAGCAGCCAACUACCACUCCCAGUGUUACCAAUGAAGUGGGGGAGUGGGUACCCCGCCCAUGAACUGCCACUGUUUUUAGCAUCACCAAUGACAUCAGAAUCCCUGGACCUGACCAUGGGUACAACCUAGAGCCUCUGAGAGGACAAGAUAUGGGAAUGGAUCCCCAGAACUGAUUGAUUGGGCCCUGAGAAAGCUCACUCAGAAUCUCCAGCAUAAGGGGCUCAGAGGCUCUGGGGUGCUGGGGGGAGUGCACAAAGUAUCCUGUUCUUCUUCUGCCACCUGGUGGUUAGUCAGUAUGUUGACAAGUGCACAAAAGGAAACCUGGAGUUUGGGGGUCUUAGAUAGAAUCUGGCCUUUCUCCCUGGGAGUUUAGGGGUCUGACCAGGAACUAGGAAGAAACUCCUCACUUACCAGUCAAGUUUCCUCACGUGAGGAUUAAACGUGUGCAGAGAAAUGACAGUGUAGUGAUUUGGGUCUUCGUUUCUAUCCAUUAUCUUUUAAGUUGGCAAUUUACACCAAGCCUGCAGUUUAGGACUUAAACCCAACCCACACAAUGUAGCUAGCUGCAAGCCAAACAAGAACCAUCGCUUUCACUUGUUCACUGGUUCAUGUUCCACACACUCCUCUUUUUCCAUGGAGUGCAGUAGGAACAAGCCUCGUUGGAGUGGAGUCACGGGAAGGGAGAUGUGGAGGACAGGGCAGGAGACCUUUUCACUUUGGGGAGGAGUUUCUGAGUAUCUGGCACAACUUGCCCAGAGACUCACAAGGUUUUGGUAAAAAGUUGUGUGUAAAUCAGGUACUCACGUACUGGACAGCUCAGGGCUCUUGUGCGUCUGACUUGUACAAGACCCCAUGAAGGACAGAGCUGUCUGGGACCGCUGGCACCCUCCUCUCUAGGCCAUCCUAUACACGUGAUGGCUUGGUCAGCAGCUCUAAUGCUGUUAAUGGUCUCCUUUUAAAGCCAGUGGCCACCCGUCUGAUGGGCAGGGGUUCUGCAUGUGAAAUCCCAUCUGCAGUGUCGGGGGUCUUGGUGAUAUGCUUCCCAGCUCUUUCCCCAAUCCUAUCUCUAGUACUCUGGGUCUGUCUAGAAUGCUGGUGUGACACACCCUGAACAGAAGUGAUGGCUGAGGUUUCCUCAGGUUUGCAGUUGAUAUGUAUUCAGGGGUCAAAUAAGUCUCCCUGCAGUUGCCUCUGCCCUUUGAAGGGAAACCCGUCCAUUACUCACAAAUGACUCAUUUUGUACAUGAGAAACACCCACGUCAUCCAUAAGGCUUGGCUGUGAAAUGUGUGGAAAGCUACGUAGAGUUAAAGGACAAUAGUGCUUCAUGAAGUCAGGUGACAAAGAACACCCAGUUUGCCUGGUACUGAAGGAUCUUCCAGGACAUAGGACUGGCAGUGAGAAAACUGGGGUGGUCUCAGACAAACUGGGACAGUGGAUGGCCACCACACAGGGGCAAAGGGACAUGGUCACACAUGGUGAACUACCCCUAGGUGUCUGCACACCCUGUUCUCACAGUGGGGCCCCUCUGUGCUUUUCUUCUCAACCAGCAGAAACCUGGCUUGGGAUGGCCUGCUGGGGAGGCCAGGGGAGAUAAGCAAAGGAAGCAAAGACAGAUUGGAGGGGUGGGAGUAAGGGAUCCAGGAAUACGGGGAACGUCACAUGUGAGAAAUGUAUCCAGUGCUUAGCAGAGUGUACUGGGAAGCAGA